rnacentral:misc_RNA from 1 species
GUCGAGUGCAAUCCUCUGACAAAAGCAAGUUCAAGUUAUUGUAUUUUGAUCAGGAAGGAAAUGGUGGACUGAGCCUUGCUCUGCAGGAGGACAGUGCCAAAACAGGAAAGUUUACAUCUGCUGGAAUGUAUUUCCUUUGUUUUCCUGUUUAUCGGUUGGAUCAGACAGUCAACGCGAUUGCAGCCGCAAAGGAUGCUGAUACUGCCUUCUUCAAGAAAUUGGAUGGGUUUCAGCCAUGUGAAAUAAUGGAACUGAAGGCUGGCACCCAUGUUUUUGCUGUCUAUGGUGACAAUUUUUUUAAGAGUGCAAGUUACUCAAUAGAAGCUCUCUGUGCUGCACCUUUUGUGGAAG